AUGAGUCUAUUCUCCUGGAAUUGUCGGGGGAUUGGCAACACCCCGACAAUUCAAGAAUUGCGUGAAUUCGCAAAUAAGUUUGCCCCUAAAGUACUUUGUAUAGUUGAAACCCAGUUGAGUGGGGAGAGAGUUGAAAAUCUGAAAAGUACUCUAGGUUUUGAUAGUUCUUUUGCUGUGGAUGCCUCCGGAAGAAGUGGAGGUUUAGAUUUGUUUUGGAAUAAUGAAAUAAACAUUGAGAUUUUUGGGCAACUCGAGGUAUCACAUCGAUGGUAA
rnacentral:rRNA from 1 species